rnacentral:rRNA from 1 species
AACGAACGCUGGCGGCAGGCUUAACACAUGCAAGUCGAACGCCCCUUUCGGGGGGAGUGGCAGACGGGUGAGUAACGCGUGGGAACGUGCCCUUCAGUUCGGAAUAACCCAGGGAAACUUGGGCUAAUACCGGAUACGUGCGAGAGCAGAAAGAUUUAUCGCUGAAGGAUCGGCCCGCGUCUGAUUAGCUGGUUGGUAGGGUAAUGGCCUACCAAGGCGACGAUCAGUAGCUGGUCUGAGAGGAUGAUCAGCCACAUUGGGACUGAGACACGGCCCAAACUCCUACGGGAGGCAGCAGUGGGGAAUAUUGGACAAUGGGCGCAAGCCUGAUCCAGCCAUGCCGCGUGAGUGAUGACGGCCUUAGGGUUGUAAAGCUCUUUCGUCCGGGACGAUAAUGACGGUACCGGAAGAAGAAGCCCCGGCUAACUUCGUGCCAGCCGCCGCGGUAAAAC